UGCCCUAGUAGCGGCGAGCGAAGCGGCAACAGCUCAAAUUUGAAAUCUGGCACUUGUGUCCGAGUUGUAAUUUGUAGAGGAUGCUUUUGGCGAGGCGCUUUCUGAGUCCCCUGGAAUGGGGCGCCAUAGAGGGUGAGAGCCCCGUAUAGUUGGACGCCGAGCCUCUGUAAAGCUCCUUCGACGAGUCGAGUAGUUUGGGAAUGCUGCUCAAAAUGGGAGGUAAAUUUCUUCUAAAGCUAAAUACCGGCCAGAGACCGAUAGCGCACAAGUAGAGUGAUCGAAAGAUGAAAAGCACUUUGAAAAGAGGGUUAAAAAGCACGUGAAAUUGUUGAAAGGGAAGCGCUUGUGACCAGACUUGCGCCCGGUGGAUCAUCCAGCGUUCUCGCUGGUGCACUGCGCCGGGCUCAGGCCAGCAUCGGUUCUCCUAGGGGGAUAAAAGCGGUGGGAACGUAGCUCCUCCGGGAGUGUUAUAGCCCGCCGUAGAAUACCUCUGGGGGGACCGAGGUACGCGCUCCGCAAGGAUGCUGGCGUAAUGGUCAUCAGCGGCCCGUCUUGAAACACGGACCAAGGAGUCAAGCAUUAGGGCGAGUGUUUGGGUGCAAAACCCGCACGCGUAAUGAAAGUGAACGUAGGUGAGAGCUUCGGCGCAUCAUCGACCGAUCCUGAUGUAUUCGGAUGGAUUUGAGUAAGAGCCUUACCGCUUGGACCCGAAAGAUGGUGAACUAUGCCUGUAUAGGGUGAAGCCAGAGGAAACUCUGGUGGAGGCUCGCAGCGGUUCUGACGUGCAAAUCGAUCGUCAAAUAUGGGCAUGGGGGC
rnacentral:rRNA from 2 species